UGCUGUAUGGGUUGUAAAAAAACGUUUAGAAAUAUUUGCUAAUAUAUGAAGGUAAAAAUAUAUAUUUUCAAAUUCAAAAUUAUAUUUAAUUAAGCUUUACUGUCUACAAAAUGUAUUUAGCAUAUAUUUAAAACAUAUGUUUGGCCAAAGAUUUUUUUGCCGUUGUUAACUUUUGUCACUUCCGGUUGUUGUCCUGGCGAUAGCUCAUGUAUUUCCUGUCAUGUCAGAAGCUAAAUAUGCUAACGGGCUGCUUGACUCCUAUUGAACGCUUGUUUGAUUGUAAACAGACAUAAAAUGAUGUACGUGAGUCGACGGUGUUUGGACAGAAUAUUCUCGGCUGUUCUUCUGGCUGUGGUGAUUUUGUCCUGGGGUUUUGUCAUUUACAGCACACGAGUAGCUGCUCAAUGGGAGCUGGAGAAAAGAUUUCAGAUUAAUCCUAAAUAGACGUCAUCAUCAGCUGAUCUUACAGGAUUCUUCCUCUUCCUGAAUUCACAGAACUUCUUCUAGAAUUAAAUACAGGAGAAAAAGAUCUUCAAGAAAUUCAGCAGAGAUCUGAAGAAGCAUCAGGAAGAUCUGCUCACUUCUCAACCAAAUCACACUGUUGUCAUUGUUUUCAUGUCACAAUUGUUGAUAUAUGUUUAGAAUGUAAUAUUUAUAAUAAAGAGCUUGAUUUGAUCUGAUCGACUGCA